rnacentral:rRNA from 1 species
CGUAGGUGGCCUUCUUAGUCAGACGUGAAAUCCCUAGGCUUAACCUGGGAACUGCGUCUGAUACUGGAAGGCUCGAGUUCGGGAGAGGAAUGUGGAAUUCCAGGUGUAGCGGUGAAAUGCGUAGAUAUCUGGAGGAACACCGGUGGCGAAGGCGGCAUUCUGGACCGAAACUGACGCUGAGGCGCGAAAGCCAGGGGAGCAAACG